GACGAACCGUGCGAACGUUGUUCGGAAUCACUGGGCUUAAAGGGCGCGUAGGCGGGCUCACAAGUCCGGGGUGAAAGCCCCCAGCUCAACUGGGGAAGCGCCUUGGAUACUGUGGGCCUCGAGGGAGGUAGGGGCGUGCGGAACUUCCGGUGGAGCGGUGAAAUGUGUUGAUAUCGGAAGGAACGCCGGUGGCGAAAGCGAUCCGCUGGACCUCUUCUGACGCUGAGGCGCGAAAGCCAGGGGAGCAAACGGG
rnacentral:rRNA from 1 species